UUGGCCGAAUUCUCUGCAGCAAAAACACAACACAAAGUUGCCAUUUUCAUCCUCAAUUCUUGCACAAAAACUUCAUGGAUUCACACCAAAUUUGAACUACACUUAGCUUGUCACGUGGAGAGAUCAUCUAGCUAGAAAAAGGAGGAGUUUCUCACGGUUUCUUGGAGCAUCUUGAGGACCGAAAUUUCUGGUUUAAAGCAACAAGGAGG
rnacentral:lncRNA from 1 species